GACGAACGCUGGCGGCGUGCCUAAUACAUGCAAGUCGAACGAACCGCGACUAAGUGCUUGCACUAAGUCAAGGUGAGUGGCGAACGGGUGAGUAACACGUGGGUAACCUACCUCAUAGUGGGGGAUAACAGUCGGAAACGACUGCUAAUACCGCAUAGGACAUAGGAUCACAUGAUCCAGUGAGGAAAGGUGGCGCAAGCUAUCGCUAAGAGAUGGACCCGCGGUGCAUUAGCUAGUUGGUAGGGUAAAGGCCUACCAAGGCGAUGAUGCAUAGCCGACCUGAGAGGGUGAUCGGCCACAUUGGGACUGAGACACGGCCCAAACUCCUACGGGAGGCAGCAGUAGGGAAUCUUCCGCAAUGGACGCAAGUCUGACGGAGCAACGCCGCGUGAGUGAAGAAGGUCUUCGGAUCGUAAAGCUCUGUUGUUAGAGAAGAACAGCGCAUAGAGUAACUGCUAUGCGUGUGACGGUAUCUAAACAGAAAGCCACGGCUAACUACGUG
rnacentral:rRNA from 1 species